UUCCACACUGCAUUUCCAGAAUGUCACAAUCAGAUCACAUCGACGAAAUCACAUGAAUGCAGCAGAAUAUAAUUUCAAAAGAACAUCAUGAUUUUAAUAUAAAAUUCUAGCACGUGGUGUCAACAAGACUAAAGAUUCAAAAAUGACAUUUUUGUGAGCUGUUUGUGAAUUGAAUAGUUGAUCAAAUAAUAUUUACAGCUAUUUGAUUUGAUAGGAGAACCAUUUAUAACAGUUUUCAAAGGUGUGAAUAAUGAAUUUAAGAAAUUAUGUGGAAUUGGCAAUGGCUAGUUCCAAAAAAAUGGUGGUUAGAUAUUUUUGAAAAAUUGAAUGGUAAAAGGUUCACUUAAAAGUUGGGAAGCCCUACAGCCUACCAACCAGUCCAAACAGCUAAGUGUAUUCUAUACUCAGUGCCAAUAAAGUCUCAGGUACCUAUCUUUAAAGCCUGCUCGUGAAUUGUCAAUGGCAAUAUUUGGAGCUGAAUUUUUAAGUUCAUAAAUUUCACAUCUUUAGGAUUCAAACUGUUUCAAAUGUUUUUCAGAUAUUUUUAAUGAAAAACAAGAUGCUUAAAUGAUAAAUAUACGACCAUAUAAAGAAAACCUGCUGAAAGUG
rnacentral:misc_RNA from 1 species